GACGAACGCUGGCGGCGUGCUUAACACAUGCAAGUCGAACGGAAAGGCCCUGCUUUUGGGGGACUCGAGAGGGGAGCGCGGGUGUGUAACACGGGAGUAACGUGCCCUAGACCUUGGGAUAACUUGAGGAAAGUGGGGAUAAUACGGGAUAGGAGCUCCUGAUGCAGGGGGGGGGAUGGAAAGUUUCGGCGGUUGGGGGCGGACUCGCGCCUUAUCAGCUGGUGGGUGGGGUGGUGGCUUACCAAGGGACUGCCGGGUAGCCGGCCUGGGUGGUUGACCGGCCACAUUGGGCCUGGGAUACGGCCCGGACCCCUCCGGGAGGCAGCGGGGGGAAAUUUUGCCCAAUGGGCGGAAGCCUGUUCCGGCACCGCCGCUGGCGGGAUGCCGGCCUCCGGUUGGUAAACCGCUUUCCCCUGUACCGAGGCGUUUGUGACGGUACCUGGUAAAGAAGCACCGGCUAACUACGUG
rnacentral:rRNA from 1 species